rnacentral:rRNA from 1 species
AGCCAUGCGAGUCAUUGUAGCAUACAAGGCAGACGGCUCAGUAACGCGUAGUCAAUCUACCCUGUGGACGGGAAUAACCUCGGGAAACUGAGAAUAAUACCCGAUAGAACAUUAUGCCUGGAAUGGUUUAUGUUUAAAAUGAUUUAUCGCCAUAGGAUGGGACUGCGGCCUAUCAGUUUGUUGGUGAGGUAAUGGCCCACCAAGACUAUUACAGGUACGGGCUCUGAGAGGAGUAGCCCGGAGAUGGGUACUGAGACACGGACCCAGGCCCUAUGGGGCGCAGCAGGCGAGAAAACUUUGCAAUGUGCGAAAGCACGACAAGGUUAAUCCGAGUGGUUUCUGCUAAAGAAACCUUUUGUCAGUCCUAGAAACACUGGUGAAUAAGGGGUGGGCAAGUUCUGGUGUCAGCCGCCGCGGUAAAACCAGCACCUCAAGUGGUCAGGAUGAUUAUUGGGCCUAAAGCAUCCGUAGCUCGUUUUGUAAGUUUUCGGUUAAAUCCAUGCGCUCAACGUAUGGGCUGCCGGGAAUACUGCAUAACUAGGAAGUGGGAGAGGUAGACGGUACUCGGUAGGAAGGGGUAAAAUCCUUUGAUCUAUUGAUGACCACCUGUGGCGAAGGCGGUCUACCAGAACACGUUCGACGGUGAGGGGUGAAAGCUGGGGGAGCAAACCGGAUUAGAUACCCGGGUAGUCCCAGCUGUAAACUAUGCAAACUCAGUGAUGCAUUGGCUUGUGGCCAAUGCAGUGCUGCAGGGAAGCCGUUAAGUUUGCCGCCUGGGAAGUACGUACGCAAGU